GCGGGUCCAGGUUCCUGACUCCGCAGCGCGCUGCACCGCGGCGCCGGGGUUGGGGGCCCCAGGCUGAGCUCAGCGCGGGACGAGCCCCGCCCGCGCCCCGCCGACCCCGUGUCCCGGCGCCACCUCUCUCCGGUCCGCUGCUGGAGCGCGCACUUCUCCAGCUCGCAUCCGCCUCUCCCGGGGAAGGGGGCGCAGAAAAGCAGCGCCUGGAAGCCGCGGGUGUCCCGGGCUUUCCGCAGAGCCCCCACACCGUGGUCACCGUGAACCCCCGCCAAACUCUCCGAGAAGCCCCGCGCAGCCCCUCACACCCUGGGCUGCUUGGCGCCCCGGCCUCCCCUCUUUGCCGCACAGCCGGCCCCUACCGGGGACCCCCGGGCACCCCCAGCACGCUCUCCCGUGCAGUACCCCCUCACCGUGCACUCCGCGAGUGCCCCCAGCUCCCUCUCACCAUGGUUGUUCCCGACAGGUGACGUUUGCGGAGGGUCGUUGACUGCGGACGCGUUACGAGUCUCCAGCAACACCACGAAUCCCGGUCUUUACACGGGGAACAGGGCGGACCUAGUUCGAAAAGUGCAUAAACCUCGGACGGUGGCGCAGACUUGAGCUCAGCAACCGCUAGAGAAGGAAAGAUGCUGUGAUGAGAACCAGGCAAUGCCAGCCAAUUGGUCCGAUUUCACAGUCUGCGCACACCAGAAACUUGACGUUGCCCACGUCCUUGGUGAAGCCCACGUUCUCAAAGAUGAACAUGUCAUCAACCAGCCAGUGCUCCUGGAGAAGCUCGCCGUCAGGAUUGCUGCCAUCAGCCAGAGCUGGCUUCUUUCUCAUGGAGGGAAGGAAAAGCUGCAGUGGAAAAGAACACAAAGAAUGCAAGAGCUGACUGGCCAGUCACGUCAUCACCCCCAUUCCACUCACACAUUACACUGCUCCCUAGCACUUUCUCGGAAUGAAAACAGAAUGAGGAGCCCGAUCACUGAUGGAUGAGGAUGCUGGGCGGCUCCUCUGUUGCCUCUAGUCCGUGCCCUGAUUCUUACGAGACGUUAAAGAGGUAACAUGCUGUUUCCAACUGGCUUCACUGCUAUCCUUACCAUGGUCCAUAAGGCCCUGCCUGUUCCUAAUCUCCCUCCAGCCACACUGGCCUUGCCUUCUUCAAACAGGGUAAAUGUGCUCUGCCCUCAGAUCCUGGCAAGGCCGGUUCCUUCAUGAUAUUCAGCUCAAAUGUAACCUCUUCGGGAGGUCUUCUCUAACCAAACAAUCUGAAUUAGCUUCCCAUACUGCCCACUAUGUUUUAUUUUAUACUUUUUAAAGUUUACUUAACUA